UACGUAGGUGGCAAGCGUUGUCCGGAAUUAUUGGGCGUAAAGCGCGCGCAGGCGGCCUCUUAAGUCUGAUGUGAAAGCCCCCCGGCUCAACCGGGGGAGGGCCAUUGGAAACUGGGAGGCUUGAGUAUAGGAGAGAAGAGUGGAAUUCCACGUGUAGCGGUGAAAUGCGUAGAGAUGUGGAGGAACCACCAGUGGCGAAGGCGACUCUUUGGCCUAUAACUGACGCUGAGGCGCGAAAGCGUGGGGAGCAAACAGG
rnacentral:rRNA from 1 species